rnacentral:rRNA from 3 species
UCCGGUGACAAUGGCAUAGAGGUCACACCCGAUCCCAUUCCGAACUCGGAAGUUAAGCUCUAUAGCGCCGAUGGUACUGCACGGGAGACCAGUGUGGAAGAGUAGGACGUUGCCGGUC